UACGAAGGGGGCUAGCGUUGCUCGGAAUUACUGGGCGUAAAGGGCGCGUAGGCGGUUCUAUAAGUCAGGCGUGAAAUUCCUGGGCUUAACCUGGGGGCUGCGCUUGAGACUGUGGGACUUGAGGUCAGAAGAGGGUCGUGGAAUUCCCAGUGUAGAGGUGAAAUUCGUAGAUAUUGGGAAGAACACCGGGGGCGAAGGCGGCGACCUGGUCUGAUACUGACGCUGAGGCGCGACAGCGUGGGGAGCAAACAGG
rnacentral:rRNA from 1 species